rnacentral:rRNA from 1 species
AAUGAACGUUGGCGGCGUGGAUUAGGCAUGCAAGUCGUACGGGUCGGUGUAGCAAUACAACGGCAAGUGGCGAAAGGGAGAGUAACACGUAGAUACCUACCCUCUGGUCGGGGAUACCGCGGCAUAACCGCAAGUAAUACCCGAUAAAAUCUCCGGAUCAAAGGUGUGAUUCCGCCGGAGGAGGGGUCCGCGUUCUAUCAGCUUGUUGGUGAGGUAAUGGCUCACCAAGGCUAAGACGGAUACGGGGUGUGAGAGCAUGCCCCCGCUCACUGGGACUGAGACACGGCCCAGACACCUACGGGUGGCUGCAGUCGAGAAUCUUCGGCAAUGGGCGCAAGCCUGACCGAGCGACGACGCGUGCGGGAUGAAGGCCUUCGGGUUGUAAACCGCUGUCGAGGGGAAUGAAGUGUAGGUGGGUACUCCCAUCUAUUUGACAGAUCCCUGGAGGAAGCAUGGGCUAAGUUCGUGCCAGCCGCCGCCGUAAAAC